UUCAAAUAAAAUACCUGCUAAUUAAAGAUUUAUGGCGGUUGAAAUUGCCAUGUUCAAGUAUUUAUGUGGCUUAUGUUUGCAUCCGUUUGAAAUAUACAUGUUUAACACGUGUAAUUAAGGCAAUAUUGUUUUAAAUGUGUCGAGUUGCCAUGCAUGACGUCAUACACGUUAACUCGAGUUUAGCGUAAAUAACUGGAACAAAUAAUAUAUCAUAAAACAGAUCGGUAUAACGUUAAUCUUGGUGGUAUAGAUAGAUUAAAUGUGUACAUAGUUUUCUUGGGUCGAACUCAUGGCCGAACCUCAUAAUUGCAGUUAUAUUAAUGCCCGAUAGAGGGCGAUGUGGUCGUACUGUUAGUUCAAAGAUGCACUAAGACGAAGAAGAAUGCUGUUAACAUUACUCUGCGUGUGCUCUGUUGCUUCACUUUGGUUAUACAAAAAAAAAACUUUGGUUACACGAAGAAAAAAAACUUUGGUUACACAGACUUUUUAGAUGAUUGUUUUUUGUAAACAGUUCGUUAUCAUUAAUAGUCCGUUAAAAAAAAAAAGCUGUAUUAUUUGACGAUAUUACUGUUACAAUUGCUUCAUGUAAUCACAGCAGAAGUUGUGUAAAUAACGCAAUUUAAACUUUAGCUUCUUUUGUCAGCAAUGGCAGUGUUUGCAUGCUGUGUUGAAGGCAAGCUUAAACUUGAUGAUUGGAAAGUAGGAAGAACAUGCUGGUUAAGGUGAAACUAGGGGAUGCCCAAAAAUGUGUCAAAAUAUCUGAGCUAAGACUGAAGGAUUUUUUGUCUGCAG